rnacentral:tRNA from 1 species
GCCCCUGUAGCUCAGCGGAUAGAGCGACUGCCUUCUAAGCAGUAAGUCGGGGAUUCGAAUUCCUCCAGGGGCGCCA